rnacentral:lncRNA from 1 species
GACAUAUGUAUUAUUCCACGUUACUAAUUGUAUUUAUUGCACAUCCAAUCCUUUUUAAAUUCCAUAACAAAAUAUUAUGUUAUUGUAUGAUGAUAUACUUAAGCUUAAGAGAAAAAGACAAAAAUAACACUAAAUCAAGUUUUUGUUCUCAAACUAGCAGGUCAAAAGUCACAAAAAUAGCACUUAAUGUUUUAUCAAAAGAAAUAAAUAAAUGUUUAUACCACUAUGGUAAAUUAGUGUAGACAUUAGGGUUUAGAGUUAAGGGGUGGGGUUUAGGAUUUAGGGUUUAAGGUUUAGAGUUUAGGGUUUAGGGUUUAGAGUUUAGGUUUUAGGGUUUAGAGUUGGAAAUUGGAAUUUUGGGGAUAAGAUUUCAAAUUUUGAAAAAUAAAAAAAAAUUAAAUUUUUCAAAAGAUAAAAUGCUAUUUUGGUCAUUUUAGUUUUUGAGUGCUAUUUUUGUGAUAUAAACUUAAAAAUAUGCUAUUUUGGAGAUUUGCCCUGUAUAUGAUAACAAAUUCAAAUUGAACUAAACCAUAAUCGAGUCGAAUUAAACCAAACAGAAGCAUAACCAAAUUAUUAUUUUUGGACAUAGUGAACAUUUAUAAAAUCCUAUAUAAUUGUGAUAACGAAAAUUUAAUGAACCAGUAAUGGUCUCAUUUAUAAAUUCAGACUUCUUUUCCAACCAAAAGAAAAAAAAAACAGAACCAAAAAAGAAAAAAAUACGUCAGGUAACUGGUCUAAAAUUGCAUCUGACGAAGUUUAUAAACACACGCG